rnacentral:rRNA from 1 species
AUUGAACGCUGGCGGCAGGCCUAACACAUGCAAGUCGAACGAGUGGCGGACGGGUGAGUAAUGUCUGGGAAACUGCCUGCUGGAGGGGGAUAACUACUGGAAACGGUAGCUAAUACCGCAUACCAUCAGAUGUGCCCUGAUGUGUUUCGCUAGUUGGUGGGGUAACGGCUCACCAAGGCGACGAUCCCUAGCUGGUCUGAGAGGAUGACCAGCGACACUGGAACUUGGACACGGGCCAGACUCCUACGGGAGGCAGCAGUGGGGAAUGUUGCACAAUGGGCGCAAGGCUGAUGCAGCAAUGCCGGGUGUAUGAAGAAGGCCUUCGGGUUGUAAGGUACUUUCAGCGGGGAGGCGUUACCCGGAGAAGAAGCACCGGCUAACUCCGUGCCAGCCGCCGCGGUAAUUC